CGGCGUGCUUACACAUGCAAGUCGAACGAUGAACCACCUUCGGGUGGGGAUUAGUGGCGAACGGGUGAGUAACACGUGGGCAAUCUGCCCUGCACUCUGGGACAAGCCCUGGAAACGGGGUCUAAUACCGGAUACUGAGCCUCGCAGGCAUCUGCGGGGUUCGAAAGCUCCGGCGGUGCAGGAUGAGCCCGCGGCCUAUCAGCUUGUUGGUGAGGUAACGGCUCACCAAGGCGACGACGGGUAGCCGGCCUGAGAGGGCGACCGGCCACACUGGGACUGAGACACGGCCCAGACUCCUACGGGAGGCAGCAGUGGGGAAUAUUGCACAAUGGGCGAAAGCCUGAUGCAGCGACGCCGCGUGAGGGAUGACGGCCUUCGGGUUGUAAACCUCUUUCAGCAGGGAAGAAGCGAGAGUGACGGUACCUGCAGAAGAAGCGCCGGCUAACUACGUGCCAGCAGCCGCGGUAAUACGUAGGGCGCGAGCGUUGUCCGGAAUUAUUGGGCGUAAAGAGCUCGUAGGCGGCUUGUCGCGUCGGUUGUGAAAGCCCGGGGCUUAACCCCGGGUCUGCAGUCGAUACGGGCAGGCUAGAGUUCGGUAGGGGAGAUCGGAAUUCCUGGUGUAGCGGUGAAAUGCGCAGAUAUCAGGAGGAACACCGGUGGCGAAGGCGGAUCUCUGGGCCGAUACUGACGCUGAGGAGCGAAAGCGUGGGGAGCGAACAGGAUUAGAUACCCUGGUAGUCCACGCCGUAAACGGUGGGCACUAGGUGUGGGCGACAUUCCACGUCGUCCGUGCCGCAGCU
rnacentral:rRNA from 1 species